rnacentral:lncRNA from 1 species
CUUUCUAUGGUCAAGAGAAGUAGAAAAAAAUAUGAGCUGAAUCAUCUGAGUAUGAACAGAACAGAAAAGCCUAGUCAAGAAAGUAGGAUAGAAAGGCAAAAUACCAGAGAACUGAUAGGUAGUCAUAAUAUCAUAUAUGUACAAGUCCAGUAUUUAUGGAGUGUUUACUUUUUAUUUGGAACUAUGAUAAAGGCUUUAAGAAUAGUCAUAAGAAAAGAAUAAUGGUGGAUUACUAAGUGC